rnacentral:rRNA from 1 species
GACGAACGCUGGCGGCGUGCUUAACACAUGCAAGUCGAACGGACAGGCCAUGCUCUUGCGGGUUGCUCGUGUGCCGAGCGGGUGUGUAUCACGUGUGUAACCUGCCCUUGACUUUGGGAUAACUUCUGGAAACUGGGGCGAAUACCGCAUAGGAUCUCCUGCUGCAUGGUGUGGGAUGGUAAGUUUCGGCGGUUGGGGAUGGUCUCGAUGGUUAUGCGCUUGUUGGUCGGGUAGUGGCGGACCAAGGCUGUGAGGGGUAGCAGGCAUUGGAGCGUGACCGGCGACAUGGGGACUGAGAGACGGACCAGACGGCAACCGGACGCAGCAGGGGGGAACAUUGCAGAAUGGGCGGAAGCCUGAUGCAGCAACGCCGCGUGCGGGAUGACGGCCUACGAGGGGUAAACCGCUGUCGCCGGAGACGAAGACUGAGUGACGGUAAUUGAUAAGGAAGCACCGGCUAACUACGUG